UCUAUCAAAAAACGGCAUGCUAUGGGCACUUUGGGAGAGAAGAAUUUACAUGGGAAAUACCCAAAAAGCUUCUGUAUUAAGCUUUUCAGGAUGUUUCAUGUACUUGACAGGCAGUUUACUAAUCAGGUACUCCUUCUCAAACUGAAAUUUUCCAUGUCUGCAUGAAUUGGAAUUGGCUGUAUGAAGUUUCAAUUAAGUUUCAUUUGCCACUUCUGAAAUGUAAAAAGAAACUGUAAGAAAUACUUGGAGGAUAUUAACUUCCUUUGACUUCUCUAGCUGAAAGCACAAAAUGGAGAGAGAUAAUUCAAAAUCAUUUAGCUUCUUUUCAAGGACUAAAGAGGAUGGGAAGAUUUGUAUACAGAAAGUAGCAAUUCUGAAUUUAGGUCUUUCUAACUGUUAGACAUCUGGAAACUACAGGAGGCAAAUUGGACCACGGUGUAUUUCAGACAAUAAGAACACAUUUUUGUGACACUUCUUUCACCUUGCUCUCUGGCUUCCUAUAGACUUGAGAUAAGAGUUACAGACCUUCUCUUCAAGGAGCUAGAUAAUCUCUGUCUCCAGAGUACAAACCUUUCUUUCCCCUUGUUGAUGAUUUGUAUUUCAAAGUAGCCAGAAGUACCAGCUGCAGUAGAAAUCCCUAACCACAGAUUGCAACAGGUACAGUAUACAUCAAAUCUCCAGAGAUCCCAUCUACAAAUUUUUAGCAAGUUUUCUAAUAACUAAUUAACUAAUUUUAUUUACACAGGAUACCUAAUUUGCCCUAUGUAAAAUUUUCAUCAAGAAUAGCAAAAGACAUAUACCUUGUCUGAAACAAGCAAACAGAGAAAAGGUACCUCUGCUAAAUUUGUAGUGUCUAAUCUGAAGUCAGAGACAAAACUGUUGCUCCACAAAAUCAGUGAUUUUUUUUGAAUGAUCAGUAUGUUUUCCCAUUAUCAUUCUAGAAAUUAAUCACUUAAACUGGAACCUCAAAAAUAAAAAAGGGUGCCCAAAUCAGACAUAAGCAUAAAGAUGGUAGUUAUUGAUGAAAGUAAUAUAAAUAGCUUAAUUACAAUGUAGCCUACAUACAGGGAUCAAUAAAAAUAUUUUUAUUUCCAAA